AUUCGUGAGGAGGCGUGUACAGAUCGGACUUGGGCAGAAAAACGAAAAAAGUUGACAGACACGUAACGAGAUCGAAUCUCAUAGAUACAUUGUUCGCGAGUAUGGAAUAAAUUGUUAGUCGAUUUUUUCAAGUUUACGACACGACAAAUCAAUACCUGUCAUCAUACCUAACCCCGGAAACUACGAGCGAUUUCGCGCAAAAGUGCUCACGCGCGCGACAGUUCAACACACGACACCGAACUCGAGGAUUCCUUAUAAAUCGCCAAGACAUGCAUGGGAGAUAUUAUCUGUUGACACGCGAACACGUCGGCGAUAUCCUAAAUCAGAUCAGCCGCCCAUAAAUCCGAGCCUUCUUCUCGAGUUAGAAGCAGAUCGACGAGAAGAAAAGUAAACGAGAGUGUCAGCAGACAAGAAAGAGAUUCGACUGCGACUUGGCUUUCUCGCUCGAAGGAUCGGAAUGCAGAUGGCAUUGUUCUAGGACGCCGAUGGGUUCCACUGUUGGAGUUGGAGGCGUUGAUGAGCCGGCACGAUCCACGGAUGUUUUCUACGGUCUCGCACUCCUUCUCGAUCCUCACAGUCUGCUCAUUCUUACUCGUGAAGACAGCGGAAUGCGAUUCGCCGAGCCCUCGUGCGAUCCAACUAUAGCAAUAUGCAGGCGCAAAAACUCUGUCAUCGUCGCGGAUAUUCGCGGUAAGGUUAACGUGUUGGGAAGCUGCCGCCAAACACACAUCACUUUGAUAUCUCGUAUCUCUUUUUUGCUGCAUCAUUUUGCAUUCAUGUUAUUACUAGACAAGUGUAAAAUCGUAAAAUAAAGGAAGGUACAAAAUUUUCAAUUAAA